UAGGGAAUCUUCCGCAAUGGGCGAAAGCCUGACGGAGCAACGCCGCGUGAGUGAUGAAGGUCUUCGGAUCGUAAAACUCUGUUAUUAGGGAAGAACAAAUGUGUAAGUAACUAUGCACGUCUUGACGGUACCUAAUCAGAAAGCCACGGCUAACUACGUGCCAGCAGCCGCGGUAAUACGUAGGUGGCAAGCGUUAUCCGGAAUUAUUGGGCGUAAAGCGCGCGUAGGCGGUUUUUUAAGUCUGAUGUGAAAGCCCACGGCUCAACCAUGGAGGGUCAUUGGAAACUGGAAAACUUGAGUGCAGAAGAGGAAAGUGGAAUUCCAUGUGUAGCAGUGAAAUGCGCAGAGAUAUGGAGGAACACCAGUGGCGAAGGCGACUUUCUGGUCUGUAACUGACGCUGAUGUGCGAAAGCGUGGGGAUCAAACAGG
rnacentral:rRNA from 1 species